GUGGACCUAAGCUUCCAUUUCUCUAAAUGUGCCAUUGCUGGGUCAGAUGGUAAGUGCCUCCUAAGUUUUUUAAGAAACUGCCAAACAGUUUUCAGAGUGUCUGUAGCACUUUACAUUCCCAUCAAUAAUGUAUGAGACGUCCUCAUCAGCAUUUGGUGUUGAGCAUAUGACACAAGCGGGCCAAUCAGAGCUUUUCCCGGCCAUUAGCUAAUGAUGUUGAGAGAGCCAACUUCUUUACUGGGGCGGCUAAUUGUGAGGUGCAUUAAUCAUGUCCUUUUAUUUCCUGUAUUUCUGACUCUUUGACAUCUAGGGCCUUGUUGACCCUGGAGAGACUGCCCUCCCAGAGCUAGCCAAUUCCUAGAGAUAGCAAAGGAUUCUCCUGCAAGCUUGCCUUUCAUAUGCUAACGAACCAAUCCAGAGAGCACAGCCCACCCUCCAGCCUCCUUUAUUGGGCUCUUACCCUGGGGGCCACUAGUCCUCUGCCCUAAUCAAGCCAGGGCAGGCAUCAGACACCUAGAGGCAGCCCCUACACCCCAGAGCUCUCUGAAAUUAUUCAAACUAACCAAACCAACCAAUCCUAAACCUGCGUAGCCUGCUUGGCCCACUUGCCCAUUCUUUCCCACAAAAACCUCAAUAAAGGCUCUUGCCCACAGUUUCCUCCUGACCAACCCUGGUGCUUCCCCAUGUGAUCUCCCUAUGGCAUGUGCUGCCCCCUCAUCCUGGGAACCACGAGUAACAGACUGUCUCUUCAACAGCAGUCAUCUCUUGACCUUUGGCCUCACCACACCUGAAUGAUAAUAAAACCUACAUUUUAAAACAUGAGGACAACGUAAGCUUAUAGUUGCUGGUGGCCACCCUUCGCCCCAUGAGGACAGCCAGUCUGAGAAUGAAGUCACCUAAAGAAACGCAAAGGAGAGAGUGUGUCCUGAUGGAAUCAUUUCAGGCCCCAGAUCCACCUGUGCCUGAGAAGCAUCCGCAACUUCCUUGUUACAUGACACUUACCUUUUUAUUUUUUUGCUUAAACUAUUUUGAGUAGGAUCGUCUGUCCCUGGCCCCCUGACCAACACACAGACAGGCCAUGGUGCCUCUGCCCAGGCGCUGUUCUACGGCAAGCCCCAAAAUCCCAGGAGGGCUGCUUAAACAGUGCUUACUCUGCUGCAAGCUGGCAGAGAAAGGAGUCAGCGGGUGGAGGGCACAAGACCCAGCCUGGAGCAUCCACUCAGGGGCCAGCGGGGAGAGCAGCCCACCCAGCUCCGAUUCCUCACCAGUGGAAGAAACGGUCAGGUUGGAUGUCCCUAUGGGCCCUCCCUGCUUGUAUUCUCAAAUUCUUUAAGUUUACAUUUCAAAGGAAAAAUAAUACUCACUCAUGCUUACAGAACACUCACCACAAGUCAGGCACUGCUCAGUGAUUUGUAUACACUGAUUCAUUUCAUCCUUAUAACACCCUACGAGGGUUAUGACUCUCCCCAUCCUACAGAUGAGGAAGCUGAGGCACAGUUGGACAGGCCAGGCUCAUCAGUGGAAAUGCUGGGAGUAGACCCCACCAGUCUGGGUUUAGAGUUCUUGCUGAUGACCACUGCUGAGCCCCUGGGCCCCCUCUCCCACUGUUCCAUCCGCAGGAAGUUCUCCUGUCUGACCUGAAGCCUCACUUUCUUUCUUCAGUCCUUUCUACAGUCUCUUCUUUCCCAGACUUAAUCAUCUAUGUCUUUUUAGACUUCCCUCCAAAGUAUUAGCCUCUGUUAUUUUAAUUCCCUCCCACAUUCUCCCUCAAGUAAUUCCAAACAGGGUAUACAGUGGGGAGGUCUUCGUUCUGGGGACCAGGCCAGCGAAAAGCCUGUGGCCAUGGAGGCGAUGUCACUUAAAAGAGAGCGCUCCCCAAGGCCAAGCAAAGACCUCAGGGAGGAGUCUGCGCUGGGAGUGGGCGGGGCCGGAACCGGAAAUCCUACUGGGCACCCUGGAGCUGAAGAUUCAGGCGCUUCAGUUGCCUCUGUCUCCCGCUUGUGAGAAGUCCCGCGAUGGGUGUUCUUUUCAUCUUCCCAACGUCCUGUAAUAGAGUUUUCACUCCCCACCAUGACCGCUCCCGCUGUUUCCGAGAUCAGGAAACUUGCACUAAUAUUUUGACUAAGUGGUGGUACUGAGAUUUACUUUCAGGUCUAACUUCAAAGCUCAUGUUCUCUCUACUACAUCAUUAAAUAAGUGUUUUUUAAAUACCUCUCAGUGCUUGACACUGCAUUGUUUGUGGCUGUCAGGGAGGAUCGGGACUGGCCCAAACGUGGGCAACUUCUUUCUUUGGAAACAAGUCAACACGUGGUGGGUGAGAGCCAUGCCAGGUAGCACGAGUAGAGACCCCAUCAGAGCAGUGGCAUGGAGAGGAUGCUUCUGCUCUGCAGCUGGCAAUGGAAUCGGGGGACUGGACUCUUCUUGAAGGUCCCUGCACCGCCGGUUGAGGGGCACAUCAUUCUCAAAGAGAAAUGUACCCAACAUCUAUUUGCAGACCCAGAAGAGUGGUGUGAGGACUCACGUGACAGUGCUCUCAUGCCCCAGCCCACGGCCACGCCCGAGGCAACAGUUGGUAGCAGUUUGAGCUCUAACUGCAGAGGCGGCUCUUGGAAAGGGCCGACACCCACAACCCGCCCUCCGCCAGCGGCCCUCACUCCACCUCCCCGGGCCCUGGAAGGCGCGUCCUAUGAGCUCAUUUGUCCUGGGGCAUUAGAUGCGCUCCCUGUGGAACCAGGACGCUGAGCCUGGAAGGAAGUUGGCGGGCGGGGCGAGCUUUGCCCCAUCGAGAGAAGAAGUUUCUAAAUUCAGAAGGGGGCAAAACCGGGACCCAGCCUUGCGCCGUGUCCUCUUCCCUGGGGUGAUGGAAUUUCUGACAUCGUUAGUAGUUCUGGGACUGUUGUGGAGCCUGAAACCGUUGCUACCGGCCCUUCCAGUUCCGCCUCAGCCCAGCAUCGCCUCCACCACGCAGUUCACACACCACAAAUGCCCACACAUAUAGGAGGCCUCUCCUGGACCACCACGCAGGACAGUAACUCAGACGACAUCUAACUCCGGAGGUGCUGGGGGAGGAGGAGCCUCAAAGGACCGCCGCUCGCUCGGCCUUCGCGGGGCAAUGGCGACACCUGGUGGUCAUGGCAAGAAGCGGAGGCGCCUCCCCGCCUCUCUGGUUCCCUCGGCCGCUCCACGACGCUUCUGUCCCUUCUCCGUCGCCCGCGCCCGCCCCGCGGCUCCACCCUGCCGGGGACCGCGCUCCUCCGUCCCCUUCCAGCUCGCCCCCAGGGCCGCGCGCCCAGGCUUUGCCGCCCCUCCUGGGGGCCAGCCCUGCCCAGGCUGGGGGCCAGCCGGCUCAGUGCCAGGGGCCCGCGAGCAGCAGAAUGUCACUCCUGUUUGGCUCUAGUCUCCCUCCAGGAUGCCUGUCCCCUGGCCACCUGUUGGCCUCCUAGUAUAUACGGUUCCAGUUCCUGCUGGCAGUUCUGUGGGAAUUCAGAGCCAGUGCUGAAGAAGAGCCUCCCCAGGGACUGAGGUGUCCUCUGCCUCACACUGUCACCCCGCAAACGGCUUGCCUCGUACCUGAAAUCCGGCUGCCGGUGCCCAAAGCUCAGAGUGUCAGCCUCGCUGAGGCUGGAUCGGGGGCUCUCUGGACAUGCCCGAGACGGCAGGCGCGGGGAGCGUGCACGGAUAAACAAACUGAAGCUUAAAGAAUUGAUAGAAGUCGAUGAAGGUGAAGGAUGAGGAACCUCAGGUCUGAUGGAUGCCAAGACCCCUGGACCAGGACAUACAGGCCCCAGGCGUCUGCAGUGACUGACUGAGGUAUACCCGUGCAGAGAUUACUAUCACAGUGCUGUUUCACCCUCAGGGGACGGUUUUGCACACUACUCCAUCUCCUGUCCAAGUAGCCCUUUUGUUGAUCCUCAGUGUACCAAGGAAAUGUGACUCCAGGAGCCCAGGAGGUGUUCAGCCAAGUCCUCCUGCCCUGACCUUGUCCUGGGUGAUGUCACAGACUCGCUCUCAUGCCGCCCGUGUGCCCCUCAGCCUUCUCGUUCCAGGUCUCAGUGGGUUCCCUUAAGGACACUGUGACAUGUGCCACCACCAUCUCACUCCACGGAGAGCCAGCCUGAAGCCCCCAGCACAGAGCCUGGUUCAGUGGGCACCCGUUAGACCUUUGAAGAACGGAUGAAUGAAUGCUGUGUUAAUUUCCUAGAGCUGCUGUAACAAAGCGCCACAAACAAGGUGGCUUAAAAACAGCAGAAACUUGCUUUCUCACAAUUCUGGAGGCCAGAAGUCCAAAAUCAAGGUGUCGGCACAGUCAUGCUCCCCUGACGACUGUAGGCAGGGUCCUUCCUUGCCUCUUCCACCUUCUGGGGGUGACUAGCAGGCCUUGGCAGUCCUUGGCUCGUAGAUGCAUCACCAGUCUCCACCUCUGUCUUCGAGGAGCCCUCUCCCUGUGUCAGCCUGUGUCUCCUUUCGCUUUUACAAGCACACCAGUCACAUUGGAUUAGGUCCCACCCCAAUGACCUCAUCUCAACUUGACCACAUCUGCAAAGACCUUAUUUCAAAAUAAGGUCCCACGCACAGGCACAGGAGUUAGGACUUCAACAUAGCCUUUUGAGGGACACAAUUCAACCCAUAAUAAUUGUCAAGGGCAAUUUGCUUGUGGUUUGACUUUCAAUUAAAAUUAAAGCUCGCGGGUUUGGUUUGUCCAGCGAGUGAAAGGUUGGCAGCAUUUAUGAGGUGGUGUCGCCUUACACACUGCAGAGAUGUACUUGUUUCAUCCGUGACUCCUUUCCUUUUUAUUAGUCCAUCAGUGAUGCUUUUGUGGUCACAGUAAUGACAGUGUUUACUCCAGGCUAAAGUGCCUGUGCUCCUCGCUCUCUCUUUCAUGUUAGGUGUUAAAAUGGAAUAUUAACUUGGAAUAUAGCCUCUCCUUCCUGUGCAGUGGCAAGAAGCAUUCUAAAGUCAAAAUAAGUCAAGCUGACCUCACAUUCCUUUUUUUUUCUUUCUAUUUUUUCUCCCCAAAUGCCCCCAGUGCAUAGUUGUAUAUUUUAGUUGUGGGUCCUUCUAGUCGUGUCAUGUGGGAUGCUGCCUCAACGUGGUUCCAGUGGUGCCAUAGUCCAUGCCCAGGAUCCGAACCAGUGAAACCCUGGGCCGCCAGAGCUGGGCACACGAACUUAACCACUCGGUCAUGGGGCCGGCCCCUGACCUCACAUUCUAACUGACGUCCAAACUCCUCUGCCUGGGCCUUAAGCCUUAAGCCCAGCCCCAACUCUCCUUUCCUGCUGCCGCUCCUCCUUUCGCACACUCUUGGGGCUCCACGCACACUGCUGCUUCCUCUUCCUGGAAAUACCCCUUGGACUUUCACAUUCACACCUUUGCUGUAUCGUACCUGGAGUCCCCUUCCUGUAUCCAGCUCUUCCUGUUCAAAUUCCACCCAAUCUUUCAGGCCAAGUUCAAAGGCCACCUCCUCCAGGAAGCUUUCCCUGAUCCUCCAGCUUCCUGCUCAGAAGGCCAGUGGCUCUGGUCGGCCUUCACUUAAGGCACUGACCACACACUGCUCCAGUCUGAAGCAAAUUUAUGUCUUUCCCCCAUUCCCUCUACUCCUACUAAAGAGUAAUGAAGAAAAGUCUAGAGGCCACUUAUUUAAGAAAUGGCUGAGGUUGCUGGGGAUGUUCGCUUGGAGAAAAGAAUAUGUCCAGGGAGGCAGGUGCCCCAAGCUUCCUUCAAGGGCUCAGAUUCUAUCAGACUAGGAGCUCCUUGUGGAAACUACACCUGGGCCUCUUCAGAGGUCCUUUAUACACACACACACACACAAACACCUGUGCCUAGCACAGAGCAGGGCUCCAAUAUAACCUCCUGCCCAAUGGAAAAGUUCUCUCUUUUGCACACUUUUCAGGUGGUGUGGUAAGCAGAAUUCUAAGAUGGCCCCCAAGACUUCCCGCACCCCAGGUGUGCCUGCCCUGAGUAAUCCCUAGGACUGUGAAGAUGAUGGUUUCACUCCUGUGAUUAGGUCAGGAUAUACGGCCCAGUUGAUGUUAAAAUAGAGAGAGUAUCUGAGUGAGCCUGUCCUCAUCACCGGAGCCCUUUAAAAGCAGAGUUUCCUCCAGCUGGUCACAAAAGGGGAAGUCAAAGUGUGAGAGGGAUGUGACUCGGGGGAGGUCCUCCAGGGCUAAGGUGGAGGGGCCACAUGACAAGGACCUGAGAGUGGCCUCUAGGUGCUGAGAGCAGUUCCCAACCACCAGCCAGCAAGACAACAGGCAUUCAGUCCUACAACCAUAAGGAAGUGAAUUCGACCAACAACUGAGGAAGCUGGGAAGAGGGUCUUUCCCUAGUCGGAGCCUCCAGAUGAGGACAUGGUUGGCCGACAUCUUGGUUUCAGCCUCAUGAGACCCUGAGCAGGGGGAACGGCUAAAAUGUGCUGGACUCUUGACCCAUGGAAACCAUGAGCUAAUAAAUGGCUGUUAUGUUAAUCUGUUCUGUGUGUGGUAAUUUGUUAUACAGCCAUAGAAAACUAACACAGGUGGUCAACUCCGCAGGCACCGCCAGGACAAAGCACACCCCCCAAUCCACUGUAGGAAGCUCUAAAGGCUGGAAACAGCUUCCCCCCAACCAACUGAAAAAGAAAAGCAAUGAGGGGAAAUUUACCCGAGGAGACAUUAAAGUUUAUUUUAAAGCCAGAAGAAUAGAAAUGCCCUGGUAUUAGCUCAGGGGUACAGAUAGAUUAAUCAGACCAAUGGGAUACAAUAACAGGCACAGAACUAAACAUAUGUGUAUGAAAGUUGUGUUCAUGAUAAAGGAGGCAUAUUGAGAAAUAAAUCACUAAAUAAAUGGUGGUUAUUUAAUAAAUGAUGCUGAAUCAAUUUGUUAUCCAUUUAGAAAAAUUCAAGUUAGAUCUCUCCACCUCACACUAUAUAUAAAUUACAGCUUAAUUAAAUGACUAAAAUAAAUCCCUAAAUAACCAGGUUAUAUGUACAAAUAAUACAACCUGUAAAGUACUACAAUGUUACAAAACCAUUGAAAGAAUAUUUGUACAAUUUUUCGGUAGGGAAGGCUUUCCGAAGCAAAACAUUUAACAUGGAAGCUGUAAAGGAAAUUUCCAAGAGGUUUGACUACAUCAAUUCAAAAAUUCAAUUAGACAUUGGGACCAAUAACAAGGCUAAAAGCAAGAAUCAACCUGGAAGAAACUGUUGACAUAUAUAUAACAGGCAGAGGAUCAAUAUCCAGGUCCAGAAUAUACAAAAGCUUGUACUGAUAAAUUAAAAAUUACAAACAACUAGAUUAGGAAAAGGCAAUUCACCGAAAAAAGUCAAUGGGCCAUAAACUAUGAAAAGCUUCUUACCUUACUAGUAAUCAGGGAAAUUCAGACUAAAAUCACAGUAAGAUGUCCCUCUCAAUCCCACGUGAUUGGCACCAUUUCUAAGUUGAUGAUACUCAUCGUGGGCGAGGGUGAGAGUGAGGAAGCAUCUAAUACACAUUUGUUGGGACUACAAAAUGAUGAGGCCUUCUGGGGGCCAAUUUAAAAUUCUAAGCGGACAGACUCUUCAAUCCAACAAUUCUACUUCUAAAUAGCUAUCUAGAGAAAUAUUCGAAGAGGCACAUGAAAGGCAUUUAUUGCAGCAUUUGUAUAAUAUUUGGAAACAAGUUAGCUCCCCAUAAUAGAACAGUGGUUAGAUAAAUUGGGGUCUAUUCGUACUGUGGAAUACUGCAGCUUUUAUACUGAAAAUAAGGCAGGUCUCUAUGAACCAACGUGAUAAGAUCUCCUGUACAUAUCAUUACAUGAGAAGAGGAAGUUACAGAACAAUACUGACGUAAGUUUUUUCAAUUGAUUCUGAGACACACCUUUUAUCACAUUUCAACAUCUCUGAAAAUCUGAAGUCACUUUACAAUCAAUCACAAGGUUUAAGUGCUGUUGGUCCAGUGCCACGUAAGUUGUAGCUAUAUCGCCUCAGCAUAUGUGAACCCUGAAAUUUUCAGUUAACAAACCAUUUAAGGACCAUUUGAUAAAGGAACACGAGUCCUGUCUGUUGUCUAAAAACCUCCUGUUAACUUCUGGUGAGAUCAACAAAGUGCCAGCAUCCAAAAUUGCAGAAUGAUGGGGCCAGCCCGGUGGCGCAGCAGUUAAGUUCACACGUUCCACUUCUCAGUGGCCCAGCGUUCACCAGUUCGGAUCCCGGGUGCAGA